CCUACGGGUGGCAGCAGUGGGGGAUAUUGCACAAUGGUGGAAACCCUGAUGCAGCGACGCCGCGUGUGGGAAGACGGUCCUCUGGAUUGUAAACCACUGUCCCCAGGGACGAAGAUGACGGUACCGUGGGCGGAAGCUCCGGCUAACUCCGUGCCGGCAGCCUCGGUAAUACGGAGGAUGCGAGCUUUAUCCGGAUUUAUUGGGUUUAAAGGGUGCGUAGGAGGAAGGUCAAGUCAGCGGUCAAAUGUCGGUGCUCAACCCCGGCCUGCCGUUGAAACUGGUUUUCUUGAGUGAGCGAGAAGUAGGCGGAAUGCGUGGUGUAGCGGUGAAAUGCAUAGAUAUCGCGCAGAACUCCGAUUGCGAAGGCAGCAUACCGGCGCUAAACUGACGCUGAGGCACGAAAGCGUGGGGAUCGAACAGGAUUAGAUACCCUAGUAGUC
rnacentral:rRNA from 1 species